AUGGCUCAGGACGAACGCUGGCGGCGUGCCUAACACAUGCAAGUCGAACGGGGAUUUGUUUCGGCAGAAUCCUAGUGGCGAACGGGUGAGUAACGCGUAGGCAACCUGCCCUCCGGCCGGGGACAACACUCCGAAAGGGGUGCUAAUACCGGAUACGAAGUCUGUGCCGCAUGGUACGGAUUUGAAAGAUGGCCUCUAUUUAUAAGCUAUCGCCGGGGGAUGGGCCUGCGUCCGAUUAGCUGGUUGGUGGGGUAACGGCCUACCAAGGCGACGAUCGGUAGCCGGUCUGAGAGGAUGAACGGCCACAUUGGGACUGAGACACGGCCCAGACUCCUACGGGAGGCAGCAGUGGGGAAUCUUCCGCAAUGGGCGCAAGCCUGACGGAGCAACGCCGCGUGAGUGAGGAAGUUCUUCGGAACGUAAAGCUCUGUUGUUCCUGACGAACCUCCCUUCUAUGAACAACGGAAGGGACUGACGGUAGGGAACGAGGAAGCCACGGCUAACUACGUGCCAGCAGCGGC
rnacentral:rRNA from 1 species